GUUUGAGAUCAUUCAUUACAAAUUAAUAGAUGGAAAAGAAACAGAGAACCCAUUUGUAGCAUGGGAAAGAAGAUGAAUGAAAAACCAAAGAUUUGUUUUCUCGGCAAACCAAACAGAAAAUAUGAGGAAAACCAACCAAAGCAUCAAAAUAAAUAAAAGUGAAUGGGAAAAAGCUUGAAAAAGUAGUUAAUAAAAUUGAAAAAGAAAAAGCAUUUAAUUUUCCUAAAUAAGAUAAAUGAUCGAUCCAAUCAUAAAAUCAAUAUGUGGGUGAGUAUCAAACAGAAAGACCCAGAAAGAUUA
rnacentral:misc_RNA from 1 species